rnacentral:misc_RNA from 1 species
GAUGAAGAACGUAGCAAAUGCGAUAAGUAAUGUGAAUUGCAGAAUUCAGUGAAUCAUCGAAUCUUUGAACGCACCUUGCGCCCUUUGGCCAUUCCGAAGGGCAUGCCUGUUUGAGUAUCAUGAACACCUCAACUCUCAUGGCUUGCCAUGAUGAGCUUGGACUUUGGGGGUCUUGCUGGCCUGUGGUCGGCUCCUCUCAAAUGAAUCAGCUUGCCAGUGUUUGGUGGCAUCACAAGUGUGAUAACUAUCUGCGCUCGUGGUUUCCAUCAGAUAACCUCCAGUGAUGGAGGUUCGCUGGAGCUCAUAAAUGUCUCUCCUAAGCGAGGACAGCUCUUUUAAUGUUUGAUCUCAAAUCAGGUAGGACUACCCGCUGAACUUAAGCAUAUCAAUAAGCGGAGGA